GUGUAUACUGCUAUGCAAUGCUUAAUGUUUUUUUCAUUUCAGUAUAGCUGUGGUAAGUACACUAACUUUCUUUAAUUUUCAUAUUGAACUGUUUUGAUGACUUGUAUUCUGCUAUACAAAAUGUGCUUUUUUCAAUUUCAGGUCAGCAAUGGUAAGUAUAUUGUGUUUCUUUAUGUAUAAUUUUGUAUACAUAUUGUUUUUUUCAUCAUAGCAUGUUUUUUAUAUUUAUGCUUUGUGUAAGUAAAAUGUUCAUAAAUCAUUCUUAUCUUUAAACUAAAAAUGUAUUUUGAUAUGCAAAAUGUCUGUAUGAUUUCAGUUGCCAGAGGUGAGUACCAUAACAGUUGAAAAGUUAGUUUUGUUUAGUUAAAGUUUUGGUUCACAGUUUUGUUUGUUAUUUGGCAAAAUUUACAUGUAUGCAUUGAGUCUUGAUUUCAGCUCGAUUGUGGACUGAAGAAGAUUGCCAGCAGAGGGAUUGGAUACAAAAUACAAAGUAAGUACUGAGUUUCUUACUAAAAGUUUUGAGUUGUAUUCAUUGUGUGUAAAUAUGCUAUGAUUGCUAUGAACAUGGCUUUUGUAUUUCAGCGAAGACAACAUAGGUAAGUAAAAUUGUUAUUUGUUUCAAGUUUACUGUUAUAGUUCAAUAUUGUGUUUAUAAAUUGUAAGUUGUACAAACACAUUCAAAAGUUUCUGAUUAUGCUUUCGAUUUCAUUUUAGCUUUACUGCUGGACGAGUGUUCUCAACUACUAGACGAGUCAGGUUUACUACCAGGCGAGCAGUGACAACAAGGCGCCUUUGUGGAAACAACACAACAAAAAACUCUACUGCAAGACGAGCAGUGACAGCAAGGCGCCUGAACAUGCAACACAAUACAAAAAAUGCCAAUUUGCAAACCUUGAUGUGGACACCGAGUAGUCAAUACAUACGUGUGGCGUAUAGCUGCGACAAAACCGUGGGUCCAUCGCACCGAUAACUUGAACAUUGGCCCGUGUAUGGACAUCAGUGCAACUUUGUGAAUCCAUGUAUCUUUGUGAAUCCAUGUAACAUUGCGAAUGUGUGUCGAUCGAAAAAUGUGUACAUUCUGAACUGAAACGAACUCGGUGUUGCAAGUGGCAAGUGUUGACAGUGUGUAUGUUUAUGUUUAUGUUUUUACAUGAAAACUAAAGGAGAUUGUUCUCCUACCUUUUUUUUCCUUGUUUUAUUGCGCUGGCCAGCAAUAUUGAUGUAUUGAUGUAUGUGUUUGUGUUUAAACUAUGCAAUACCAAAAUCAAACAAAAAAUAAACAUUAACAGUCAUUAACUGUG